rnacentral:lncRNA from 1 species
GGGGUCCUUCAGCAGUAGUGCAAUGAGGAGCAUGCACACGAGAGAUUCUAUUUUCCUUGGAUGGCUUUCUUGAGCCUUGGAAAUCUGGCUUACCAGGAAUUCUAGGCUUCUGUUGUCCCUUGCUUCCUAUCUUGUGUCCAGAAUUUAUUCCUUCCCAUGGGUUCUUGGUCUCUCUGGCUUCAACAAUGAAGCCGCGGACCUUCACGGUGAGUGUUACAGCUCUUAAAGACGGUGUGUCCAGAGUUUGUUCCUUCAGAUGUGUCUGGAGUGUCUUCCUUCUGGUGGGUUCGUGGUCUCGCUGACUUCAGGAAUAAAGCUGCAGACCCUCGCAUCUCACUCUGUUGCCCAGGCUGGAGUGCAGUGGCCUGAUCUCAGCUCACUGCAAAUUCUGCCUCCCUGGCUCAAGCAAUUCUCCUGCCUCAACCCCCUGAAGUAGCUGGGAUUACAGGAAAUAUUUGGCAACAUUUUCAGACAUCUUUGAUCAUCACAGUGGGGAGUAAAGCCAGCUGCAAUUAUAAAGAUGCACACACACACUCACAAAAGAGAAAGAGGAGCAGAAAGAGUGAAGAAAACAUGUCCAUUUAUUAGAAAAUAAAUAUACAAGUACAAUAGAAGAAAAGGGGGUAGAAAACAUUUUGAAGAUUUAGAAAAGUAAGUUCAUUAUCACAUAAAAUGUCUCUCUAAAGCUCUGUUCUUUCAAGUGAUUUUUUUCUUAAAAUUUCCCUUUGUGUUCUGAAUUUGCCUUUAAACUAUUGCUGAAACUGUCUCAGACAGUAUAUUUUUAAUUAUUUAAUUCUUAGAAAAUCUCCUUUAGGUGAAUGCUAGGGACAGGGAUUGCUCUAUAGAUGGCAAUGGUAAUAGGCAAAGAGGUAAUAAUUUGAGUGUUAGAUAAAAAUCCAGGUCAAAGCUGCUUUACUACUAUAUUUCAAAUCAUUUUUAAAAGCUAUCAUUAGAUAUUGUCUUUACCUAUUAAUAUUAAAAGACUAUUAGCAGUAUUAAAUUAUGCAACAAUUAGUACUUUCUGUAAGCAAU